GCCUUCGUGGUGUAGUGCAGCACGCUCGACGCCUAUUUGAGAGGUCCGUGGUUCGAGUCCCGGCGAGGGCA
rnacentral:tRNA from 1 species